UGCAUCGGUCGGGAAUCGAACCCUGGCCGCCCGCGUGGCAGGCGAGCAUUCUACCACUGAACCACCGAUGC